CACAAAACUGAUUUUUUUUGGCUCCUUUAUUUUUCACCACGCUUGAUCGAGUUGGCUACUUUUUUACCGCUGUCACUUUCGAUGCUACUCGAUGUUACUCGAUACUACUCGAUACUGAACUGUCAAAAUUGCCACGCUAAAGUCGUCGAGCUAAACUUCCGCUGUCUAUUCGUUCUUUCGUUCUCAAACCGUCGUCAAGACUAGAAGGAAAAUGAGAGCUAAGUGGCGUAAGAAGCGUAUGCGUAGGUUGAAGCGUAAGCGCAGGAAGAUGCGUGCACGUUCCAAGUAAGCUGUGCCCAGCCAUCGACCGCUAAUGGAACUUUUUGACACUACAACAACACCAAGUCCGUAAAGAGCAUGCCGUUUUAAGCCAAAUCACGAAUUUUCGCCCUCUACUUUUGACAUGAGAGAAAGGGACGCGAAAGGGCGGGAUCUGGCCCACGUAAUUUUCCACACAAAAAAAAUACACGAAGAAAUCUGCAUUUAAAAACGCAAAAUUUCUUGUUGAAGUUUUCUUCUAAAUAAAUUACUGGAGUUUCUUAACAAAAUGUUCCCCAUGAAAAAAAAAACUUAA